AUUGAACGCUGGCGGCAUGCUUUACACAUGCAAGUCGAACGGUAACAGGCCGCAAGGUGCUGACGAGUGGCGAACGGGUGAGUAAUGCAUCGGAACGUGCCCAGUCGUGGGGGAUAACUACUCGAAAGAGUAGCUAGUACCGCAUACGAUCUAUGGAUGAAAGCGGGGGACCGUAAGGCCUCGCGCGAUUGGAGCGGCCGAUGUCAGAUUAGGUAGUUGGUGGGGUAAAGGCUCACCAAGCCAACGAUCUGUAGCUGGUCUGAGAGGACGACCAGCCACACUGGGACUGAGACACGGCCCAGACUCCUACGGGAGGCAGCAGUGGGGAAUUUUGGACAAUGGGCGCAAGCCUGAUCCAGCAAUGCCGCGUGCAGGAAGAAGGCCUUCGGGUUGUAAACUGCUUUUGUACGGAACGAAACGGCUCUGGUUAAUACCCGGGGCUAAUGACGGUACCGUAAGAAUAAGCACCGGCUAACUACGUG
rnacentral:rRNA from 1 species